AAGUAUAGAACGUUUGGAGAUGCCUCGCUGUGCGGGCCAAAAGGGCUCGGGAUACGUGCGAACGCCGUUGCCCAGCGCCAUCGCCGUAAAGGGCUAGCGCAGGCGCGGCGCGAGGCCAAAGCGUUGCGGAACGCUGAGCGUCGCCGUGAGGUCGUAGAGAGACCCGAGAGACCCACCGCCAGCAGGAGAGGAAGCGCCACGAGAACCGAGAGGAGGGGGAAGAGCAGACUGGUCAGUCACCUGCACACCUUGGAACCGGAUUCAAGGGUGUGAGACGAAGCAAAGGCUCACCCCCCAAAAAAUUGCCAUCAGAACUGAGAAGUUAACUACGGACACAGAUGAUGAAGCGAGGGGCAGAAGACACAGGAUGAUCCUGCUUCAUAAUGAAACAAAAUUCCUAGACCUUCAUUGGAAAAAAAGACAAGGCUCCAAAUGUGAAAAUAUACACGGCUGAAAAAGAUCCGUGCCUGUACAUACAUGGGACCGAACAUGGCAGAGAAAAAUGAAUGCUGGGGAGUCGGGGACCGUUAUGUCAUGUAUUACCAUGUGGAAUGCCAAUGUUAAUAGAUCGGAUUUGCACCA